rnacentral:rRNA from 1 species
AACGAACGCUGGCGGCAGGCUUAACACAUGCCAGUCGAGCGCCUCGCAAGAGGAGCGGCAGACGGGUGAGUACCGCGUGGGAACGUACCCUUAUCUUCGGAAUAGCUCUGGGAAACUGGAAGUAAUACCGAAUGUGCCCUUAGGGGGAAAGAUUUAUCGGAUAAGGAUCGGCCCGCGUUGGAUUAGCUAGUUGGUGGGGUAAAGGCCUACCAAGGCGACGAUCCAUAGCUGGUCUGAGAGGAUGAUCAGCCACAUUGGGACUGAGACACGGCCCAAACUCCUACGGGAGGCAGCAGUGGGGAAUAUUGGACAAUGGGCGCAAGCCUGAUCCAGCCAUGCCGCGUGAGUGAUGAAGGCCUUAGGGUUGUAAAGCUCUUUCACCGGAGAAGAUAAUGACGGUAUCCGGAGAAGAAGCCCCGGCUAACUUCGUG